CUGGAUUCUGCAGUAAUCUGCCGAUCUGCAAUAUUACCACAGUAAAUAAUGGAUAGACCUGAAAAUGAACGUGUACCUCGUGCCAAAAUUGCAGAUACCCCAUGAGCAGGAAACCUCAGCAGUAGAAACAAUUUUAUAUGAGGGAAUGUACUCUCUCCUUUGCAUUUAUCCUCAAAUCUGUAUUUUUAGCCCCUCACUUGUCUCUACAGAGACAAGUGAGUUGCUUAAUCUAAUUGCUGACUGUACAUCUCCAGGAAACUGUGUUUGCAGGGUCAACAUUUCAUCCUCUAGAAAGCAGGGCAAUUCAUGGCUUGGAGUCUUCUUGUUUAUAUCCUAGAAACCAGAACAAAUUUCAUGGGACCCCUCACCGCCAACAACCAGCAGGGAAGGUGGAGAGAGGGCCACAGCUGUCUUUGUUGGGCGCCUGUGUGUGCCUGCUGUGUGCAUGUGCUGGAGAGACUAAGCAUAGAGAAGGGCCCAAGCGAUGAGGGAAAGUGAGUCUCCUGGCUGCUCCAGUCCCUUCUUUCCAGGCACAAAGAAGUUGAACUUGUUUUUCAUGUAGGCCCCGUUCAUCUCACUUCAGCUUUUAGUAACAGUGUGUAUGUGCAUGAGUAGCUGUGUGUGACAGAGUAAGUCCCUGUGCCUUUCUAGAUUUCAGUAAUUCAGGUUUGCGGUUUCAAGAGAAAUAAUCUGUAAAUGACACAAGAACAAAUUUAUAAGUUAGAUUAGCAACUUUACGUUGCUUAAAAUCUGAUGUUAUAUUUUUAAAAAUGCCCCUGGGUACAGGCAAAAUUAUAUGGCCACUGGAACUGAAGUCCUUACCAGCUGUAUGAGGAAUAUUCAGAUUGUUUCUGUUAUCUCUGCAUUUUAAAGUAGCAAAAUACUAAGCCAUUAGGUUAUUGAACCUGUAAUAUUCCCACAGGGGUUUUAUGUCUACCCCAUGUGAUUCAGUUAAUUUUCCUGGACUCUGGUUAGACUGCUUCCUUUCCCUCUUAGGCAUUUGGACCCCAAAGGUAGGUAGGUAAAAGUGUCAUUUUUAAAGAUUUUACCUGUUGGGGAAUUUCCUGGUUGCUGCUCCUGGAAAGCGUGCAGCUGGCCUGCAGGAGUCUGACAUUUCCAGUCAGUGGGGAGAGAAGACUUGUG
rnacentral:lncRNA from 1 species